rnacentral:rRNA from 1 species
CCUACGGGAGGCAGCAGUGAGGAAUAUUGGUCAAUGGACGCAAGUCUGAACCAGCCAUGCCGCGUGCAGGAAGACGGCUCUAUGAGUUGUAAACUGCUUUUGCACGAGGGUAAACGCAGAUACGCGUAUCUGUCUGAAAGUAUCGUACGAAUAAGGAUCGGCUAACUCCGUGCCAGCAGCCGCGGUAAUACGGAGGAUUCAAGCGUUAUCCGGAUUUAUUGGGUUGAAAGGGUGCGUAGGCGGUCGGAUAAGUUAGAGGUGAAAUCCCGGGGCUCAACUUCGGAAUUGCCUCUGAUACUGGUAGGCUAGAGAGUUGUAGAGGGAGGUAGAAUGUAUGGUGUAGCGGUGAAAUGCGUAGAGAUC